GAAAUUGUGUAUGGUUGGGAACUUUUUGCAACCAUCAUGAUCAUAUCAAAUGAAGGAAGUAAGGAAAACCCAAGCAGAAAAUGAUGGUUUGUGCUGUGGAGAUAAGAUGCUAUAAUCAUCUUGUUCCGAGUGUGGAUUAAUUUGGUCAUUGAGAAGGUAAUGUUCUUGUAACUUCUUUGGUAAUAAGACCUUUUGUUUUUGGGAUUAAUCAGGUGUAAACAACUAUUGCAUGAGCCGAGCCUGUGAAUUGAGGAGUUGAACAAUAUUUGGUGCAUCUGCACCAUGCUAGUU
rnacentral:misc_RNA from 1 species